UACGUAGGGUGCAAGCGUUGUCCGGAAUUAUUGGGCGUAACGAGCUCGUAGGCGGUCUGUUGCGUCCGCUGUGAAAACUCGGGGCUUAACCCCGAGCCUGCAGUGGAUACGGGCAGACUAGAGGUAGGUAGGGGAGAAUGGAAUUCCCGGUGUAGCGGUGAAAUGCGCAGAUAUCGGGAGGAACACCGGUGGCGAAGGCGGUUCUCUGGGCCUUACCUGACGCUGAGGAGCGAAAGCGUGGGGAGCGAACAGG
rnacentral:rRNA from 1 species